CCUACCGGGAGGCAGCAGUGGGGAAUUUUCCGCAAUGGGCGAAACCCUGACGGAGCAAUACCGCGUGAGGGAUGACGGCCUAUGGGUUGUAAACCUCUUUUUUCAGGGAGGAAUAAAUGACGUGUACCUGAAGAAUAAGCAUCGGCUAACUCCGUGCCAGCAGCCGCGGUAAGACGGAGGAUGCAAGUGUUAUCCGGAAUCACUGGGCGUAAAGCGUCUGUAGGUGGUUUAAUAAGUCAACUGUUAAAUCUUGAGGCUCAACCUCAAAAUCGCAGUCGAAACUAUUAGACUAGAGUAUAGUAGGGGUAAAGGGAAUUUCCAGUGGAGCGGUGAAAUGCGUAGAGAUUGGAAAGAACACCAAUGGCGAAGGCACUUUACUGGGCUAUUACUAACACUCAGAGACGAAAGCUAGGGUAGCAAAUGGGAUUAGAUACCCCAGUAGUCCUAGCCCUAAACAAUGGAUACUAGAUGUUGAACAGAUCGACCUGUGCAGUAUCAAAGCUAACGCGAUAAGUUCCC
rnacentral:rRNA from 1 species